rnacentral:rRNA from 1 species
GGGUUGUGAGGUUAAGCGACUAAGCGUACACGGUGGAUGCCCUGGCAGUCAGAGGCGAUGAAGGGCGUGCUAAUCUGCGAUAAGCGCCGGUAAGGUGAUAUGAACCGUUAUAACCGGCGAUACCCGAAUGGGGAAACCCAGUGUGACUCGUCACACUAUCAUUAACUGAAUCCAUAGGUUAAUGAGGCGAACCGGGGGAACUGAAACAUCUAAGUACCCCGAGGAAAAGAAAUCAACCGAGAUUCCCCCAGUAGCGGCGAGCGAACGGGGAGGAGCCCAGAGCCUGAAUCAGCAUGUGUGUUAGUGGAAGCGUCUGGAAAGGCGCGCGAUACAGGGUGACAGCCCCGUACACAAAAGCGCAUGUGCUGUGAGCUCGAUGAGUAGGGCGGGACACGUGGUAUCCUGUCUGAAUAUGGGGGGACCAUCCUCCAAGGCUAAAUACUCCUGACUGACCGAUAGUGAACCAGUACCGUGAGGGAAAGGCGAAAAGAACCCCGGCGAGGGGAGUGAAAAAGAACCUGAAACCGUGUACGUACAAGCAGUGGGAGCCCCACCACUAAGCCAGUGGUGAACUCCACAUACGCAUCC